GACAUUACGGUGGGACUAGUUGUGGGGACCAUUCCACGGUUUCCGUGACGCAGCUAACGCAUUAAGUUCCCCGCCUGGGGAGUACGGCCGCAAGGCUAAAACUCAAAGGAAUUGACGGGGACCCGCACAAGCGGCGGAGCAUGCGGAUUAAUUCGAUGCAACGCGAAGAACCUUACCAAGGCUUGACAUACACCAGAACACCGUAGAAAUACGGGACUCUUUGGACACUGGUGAACAGGUGGUGCAUGGUUGUCGUCAGCUCGUGUCGUGAGAUGUUGGGUUAAGUCCCGCAACGAGCGCAACCCUCGUUCUAUGUUGCCAGCACGUAAUGGUGGGAACUCAUGGGAUACUGCCGGGGUCAACUCGGAGGAAGGUGGGGAUGACGUCAAAUCAUCAUGCCCCUUAUGUCUUGGGCUUCACGCAUGCUACAAUGGCCGGUACAAAGGGCUGCAAUACCGUGAGGUGGAGCGAAUCCCAAAAAGCCGGUCCCAGUUCGGAUUGAGGUCUGCAACUCGACCUCAUGAAGUCGGAGUCGCUAGUAAUCGCAGAUCAGCAACGCUGCGGUGAAUACGUUCCCGGGUCUUGUACACACCGCCCGUCAAGUCAUGAAAGUCGGUAACACCUGAAGCCGGUGGCCCAACCCUUGUGGAGGGAGCCGUCGAAGGUGGGAUCGGUAAUUAGGACUAAGUCGUAACAAGGUAGCCGUACCGGAAGGUGCGG
rnacentral:rRNA from 1 species